CUACGGGCGGCAGCAGUGGGGAAUAUUGCACAAUGGGCGCAAGCCUGAUGCAGCCAUGCCGCGUGUAUGAAGAAGGCCUUCGGGUUGUAAAGUACUUUCAGCGGGGAGGAAGGGAGUAAAGUUAAUACCUUUGCUCAUUGACGUUACCCGCAGAAGAAGCACCGGCUAACUCCGUGCCAGCAGCCGCGGUAAUACGGAGGGUGCAAGCGUAAUCGGAAUUACUGGGCGUAAAGCGCACGCAGGCGGUUUGUUAAGUCAGAUGUGAAAUCCCCGGGCGCAACCUGGGAACUGCAUCUGAUACUGGCAAGCUCGAGUCUCGUAGAGGGGGGUAGAAUUCCAGGUGUAGCGGUGAAAUGCGUAGAGAUCUGGAGGAAUACCGGUGGCGAAGGCGGCCCCCUGGACGAAGACUGACGCUCAGGUGCGAAAGCGUGGGGAGCAAACAGGAUUAGAUACCCGCGUAGUC
rnacentral:rRNA from 1 species